AGGUCUGUAGUGGAGUGGUCAUCACAUCAGCUUCACAUGCAGAAGAUCCUGGGUUCAACCCCCAGCAGAGCUG